UGAUGACCUCGUUUUCCCGGUGGACGACUCUCUCCUUUACCAGUGUUUACGGACGACUGAAUGGCUUGAAUGUUCACAAAUUAAAAGGUGAAGACACAUGUACAGCACCAACAAUCUGUGUUUUUACCAAGACAUGUCAGAGACCUAGCAGCCAGGGAUGACCCUAAACACUCAGCAUGGGAGCAGUGAUCAACCAGCAAUCAUUGUGUAGAGUCGGGCUUCGGGAUCUCCAUUGCAACUACCCGUCACCAAGUAGAUGUCCAAGACCAGCCUCUGAUACAAGAGCUUCACUCUCCAGUAAAAGAAGUUCCUACAACCAAGAAUGGAGGGAAUCAACCCUACUGACAUCUUGAAAGGCUGCAUGGUACAAAGGAAAGCAACACGUAUACAACAAAUCAGUAUCAUCAAGACAUCCUAGCAUUUCAUCUGUGUAACAACCCAGCAAUUUGUUGUAAUCAAUACUAUUACUAACAAAUUCAUUGUAGGUAUUAUCUUAGUUUGAUUUUCUCUGUUUUUCUAAUUGGUGUAUAGUGGGCUGUAAUUGCAAUACUGUACAGUUAAGAUGUAGAAUAGACACAUUGUUUACCUAUUUUGGGCCGAAACUACUAGAUAGGGGUUACUUUUUAUACGCCUGAACAAGUAGAACACCACAGUAAUGAAAAACAUUUAAUUUUUCAUUUGAAUAUGAGGUGAUUCAUCAAUAGUAAUAACUAAAUAGACCCAUAAUCGUGUAACUACGAGCACCAUUCCAAAUAACAAGCACAUACGCGUUUGUUUGCGCUAACUUGGUGGUGCGACAACUUCAAAAAUUAAAGGGACCUGGACACUUGCACGUGGCAGGUGGGGUCCUACUUCCGGCUCGGGCCACUGGGUGGUUGAUCUUAAAGGUGCAUUCGGGCUCCUUUCCUUAGGAGGGCCAGUGUUAUCACAAAUGGUUGACCAACGGAAGUAGUCCCUAGUCUUUUCGGCUAGCGGACCGCCUUAGUAAAGUAGGGGAC